GGAGUACUCCCUCCAUCCGAAAAUACUUGUCUUAGAAAUGGAUGUAUGUAGACUAAUUUUAGUUAUAGAUACAUCCAUUUUAUUCAUUUCUAAGACAAGUAUUUCCGGAUGGAGGGAGUACAAU
rnacentral:pre_miRNA from 1 species